AAACCGUGUUGUGGGCAUGAACUGACAAGAUCCUUAAACCUCUCUCAACAUUAGAAGAAUGUUUCAUCUUCCUUUUGGGUGAAAUUCAUCAUCGACUUUUUGAGGGU